rnacentral:rRNA from 1 species
CCCAGUGAACAAUUAAACGGCCGCGGUACCCUAACCGUGCAAAGGUAGCAUAAUCAUUUGUCUACUAAUUAUAGACCUGCAUGAAAGGCAAAAUGAGGGUCUAACUGUCUCUUAUAAUGAAUCAAUUAAACUGAUCUCCUAGUAAAAAAGCUAGAAUAUCCACAUAAGACCAGAAGACCCUGUGAAGCUUAAACUAAACUAUUAAACCAUAUAAUAACCACUUUCGGUUGGGGCGACCUUGGAAAAAAAAAGAACUUCCAAAAAACUAUGACUACCCAUAUCUACCCAGGCCAACAAGCCAAUAAACGACCCAGCACAGCUGAUCACCGAACCAAGUUACUCCAGGGAUAACAGCGCAAUCCUCUUCAAGAGCCCAUAUCAAAAAGAGGGUUUACGACCUCGAUGUUGGAUCAGGACAUCCUAA